GCAUUAUCCAGAUUGCUUUUCAUAAUAAACUCCUGGACCAUAGAAUUUACUGCGUUUAGUCAGUUUUAAAAAAAGAAUUAGGAGAAUAAGACAAACCUUGUAAUCCAUCACCCAUGUAUCAUAUCAAUACACAUUAUUUAUUGUGUUUUUACUUGACAUGUGCAAGUUAGCAGCAAACUUAAGAUACAGACUUUAAAGACUUGUAAACUAUAUUUAAGGCAACUUAAAAUUUAGAAUUAAAUAUUUUGAUACCAUUUCUUUUUAGAUUUCACUAAAAUCAUUAAAUGGUCUUUACAAAACAAAGUGAAAAUGAUGUGUUGUGUGCAUACUUAAAUAAAGCUAGCUGAAAUCAGGAUAUGGUUGCAGAUACUUUUUUUCAUACCAAGAAUAGUCAUAGAUUAGAAUAUAGGUAUAAGUUUUUUAAGCUUUUUUUCUGAAAACAUAAUAUGACUGGUUGCAAUAACAUGUCUGUACAUAAUCAUUUAUAAAACAGGUUUUGUAUAUGUAUAUGAAAAAUGUAUCAACAAUCUUGGUUGUAUGAUUUUAAUGAUUUUUUAGAAGGGAAGUUGUUUAGAUAUUGUAUUUACUGGGAUAUGAUUACAUGUCCUUUAUAAUACUGAAAUGUGAUAUUACAGGCAGUUAAAAUUAUAUAAGGACUAAGCAUGGUAUGAGAUGAAUGUAAAAAAACAAGGGGGAAAAUCACCUAAUACAAAUUUUAAGGAGGAAACUAUCAAAAAGAUUUAUGGGGAAGGUUUGAAAAGUUAUAUUUGAUGAAAAAUUAGAAUUGAAAUGUGACAUGUGGUAGAAAAAGGAAUGAAUGUGUAUUGUUUGAACAAUAUCCUUGGAAAACUAUUACAGACACAUUCAGGACUAGAGAAAAAGGAAAGAAAAAAAAGUGUAGCAUAAGGAGGUGCACGCAUUUUCAAAUAUUUUGUUCAGUUUUAUACUGUUGUUAUCAUUUACUUCUUCACAAAAAAAGUCUUAAAAGUGGUAGUGUUUGGAAUGUAAAACAAAUAUUGUAUACUUAAUUUAAUGCACAUUAGAAUUUUAUCCAUAUUUUAUAUUUUGAGCAUUCCUGAUGAUUGUUAUAACAAAAACCUUAAGCUAAGGGCAACCAUUCGUAUUGAUUUUGAUCAUUGAGUGAAUAAUAACAAAAAGGGGAGGGCAAAUCAGUAGGAAAUUUCAAAGUUGUACUUCACAUCACAUGAAAUUUACUUUUUGUUUUGACUGCCAGUAAUAUCAAAUGCUUACCCCAUUGUUUUAAUUUAUUAUAAUGCAUUGCUCAAAUAUUGGCUGAUUGUACAUUGGAUAGUUGUGUUAAUUAUAAAACGCCUGUUUGACCAGUCAUUCUUCAUUUUUAAAAAUAUCAGUAUGUAUGUAUUUUAUGCAUAAAAACCAAUUCAUGUAAAAAAAAAAGAUAAAAAAUAAAGAAUUAAAUAAAAACUGUGUUUUGUCUCGCCUUGACAGAGUCAAAAAGCGAGACAUAGGUAUGCUGUUUCCGGCGGCGAUCGCAGUGUCAACAAUGUAUUAGUUUGUGAUUAGGUCUAGUUCAUGGUGAACUACUA
rnacentral:lncRNA from 1 species